rnacentral:rRNA from 1 species
CCUACGGGUGGCAGCAGUCGAGAAUUAUUCACAAUGGGGGAAACCCUGAUGGUGCGACGCCGCGUGGGGGAAUGAAGGUCUUCGGAUUGUAAACCCCUGUCAUGUGGGAGCAAAUUAAAAAGAUAGUACCACAAGAGGAAGAGACGGCUAACUCUGUGCCAGCAGCCGCGGUAAUACAGAGGUCUCAAGCGUUGUUCGGAAUCACGGGGCGUAAAGGGUGCGUAGGCUGUUUCGUAAGUCGUGUGUGAAAGGCGCGGGCUCAACCCGCGGACGGCACAUGAUACUGGGAGACUAGAGUAAUGGAGGGGGAAGCGGAAUUCUCGGUGUAGCAGUGAAAUGCGUAGAUAUCGAGAGGAACACUCGUGGCGAAGGCGGGUUCCUGGACAUGAACUGACGCUGAGGCACGAAGGCCAGGGGAGCGAAAGGGAUUAGAUACCCGAGUAGUC